AUGCUCGCAUCCAAGCCCAACAGGGCAAGUCUGUCUGAACCUUCCAACCACAAGGAACCAGCUAGUUCCAGUUCCGGUUCCAACUACAGCAGGGCUCAUGCUUCAGCACCUAGAGUGAGCAGGCUAGCCAAACCUGCUGCUCCAGGAUCAAACAAGCAAGCAGCAGAGGCCAGGGCGCCUUCCCCACUGCACAAUGCUGCCCGUGCCGCCGCCACCGCUCCACUCGACAAGUCCAUCGACGCCGCUCAAAAGCCAUCACCAGGAGAACGCCGGUCGAACUUCAAGGCCUCGCCGAACCGUACCUUUACUACCCCCGACGUGAGACAAAAAACUCCCGACAGGCAGCCAAGGAUCGGCAAGGCGUCGGAGCUGCAGGCACAGCUGAACCUCGUCCAGGAGGACCUCAAGAACGCCAGGGAGCACCUGGCCAACAUCGACAGGGACAGAGCCCAGGUCCAUGACGACCUGGUGCUCACCAAGACGCUGGCCGACGAGGCCUACCAGAAGCUCGAGGAGUCCCUCGCCGCGCAGCGGCGAGCCGAAGAGGCGCUGGAGACCGAGAGGUUCAAGUCCGUCGAGCGGGAGCAGGCGAGCAUCGAGCUCGCCCGGAGGAAGGAGGAGGAGUGGCAGCGGAAGCACGCCGACGUCACGAAGCGCCAUGCCCAGGACGUCAAUUCCCUCGCUAAGGUGACUAAGGAGCUCGAGAAUGCCAAGGGUGAGCUGGCGGUGACCGCACAGGCCAAGAACUCGGCACUCAGCCGUGCCGACGAGGCCGAGAAGACCACACGCGGAAAUGCAAAAAGGAUGGAGAUCCUGAUGGCUGAGGUGGCCCGGCUCAAGUCUGAGACGGAGAGCAGAGAAAAAGGAGCAGAAGAGAUCAUCGACAAGCUGCGGUCCGAAGCCUCAGAGCUGCGAGCUGAGCUCCAGAGAGCAAUGGCGUUUCGGGAGAAGCUGGUCAGAGCAGAAGAAGUGGUUGAGGGGCUCAAGGUCGACAUUGCAUACGCCAAGAGGGCAGAGAUCGAUGCAGACCAGUCGGCGCAAGGGUGGAAGACCAAGGCAGCGGCGCUGGAAGAUCGCCUAGUGGCGAUCACCUCACGGAACAAAUCCAACGAGGAGGCACUGGCGUCGCUGACAAAGAGUUUCAAGGAAGCACAGUCGCAGCUCCUCCAGCUGACAGAGAAGGCUGCAGCAUCAGAAGGCGAAGCGAGCGAGUACAAGGAAGGAUUCCUCGAGACGAACAGGCGUCUCGACAUCGUGAGGAAGGAGGCAUCUGAACUGCAGGCUACCAUUGACAGACUGAGGUUUGAACACGAGCUACUGAAUGAGACACAUCGGCAGGUUGUCGGCAAUGAGAAGGCAGCGAGCUCGCAGGUCGGCGUGCUCGGCGGAGACAAGGUGAGGCUUCAGCAGGAGCUCGAUGAGGCCAGGGAGGAGAGGAACAAGGCCAAGAAAGGCGUCGAAGACGUAGCAGCUGCUCUACGUCAGGUGUCAGCAGAAGCAAGAGAAGCCAAGGAGAGGGUCCUGGCAAAGCAGAUCGAGCUGGAUCAUGCACAGCUUCAGAUAUCCGAGAUGAAGACCGCGACAAAGACCGCAGAAGACAAGUACCAGCUGAUGCUUCAAGAAUCCAACUGCCUGAAGAAAAAGGUUGAGAUGCUGGAAUCAGAGGCCAAGAAUGUAAAAGAGAAGUACGAGUUGAUUCUUGAUGAAUCCAACUACCUCAAGAAAACAGUCAAGAGGUUGGGUUCAGAAGCCAAGACUUUACAGGAUGAUCGGGUGUCGAAGGAGGUCGGGUUUGCAGAAAUGCUCAGGAGAUCAGAGGAGGAGGCAAGCUAUGUCAAGUCAGAAAUGAGCAAGCUCAUGGAGUCGCUUGCAGUUGCAGAGAAGGAAGUGCAGGAGCUCAAGGCAGAGAAAACACAGCUGGUUCAUCAACUGGAAGAAGGAUUCAACCGUACCAUGAUGGAUGCCGCAAGCUCGAGUGCAGAACAACCAAUGGUGACCGAGAGCUCCCACCUCAAGGAUCUGUUGUCAACCAAGGAGAAGGAGGUGCUUGCUUUGAAUCAUCAAGUCACUGAGCUGCGGCUCAGAGAGGCAGCCGCUCUGGCGAAAGCCGACAAAGCCUCAAAAUUGAUGGAUGCCGCAAGCUCGAGGGCAGAACAAUCAAUGGUGGCCGAGAGCUCGCACCUCAAAGAUCUGCUGUCAACCAAGGAGAAGGAGGUGCUUGCUUUGGAUCACCAAGUCACUGAGCUGCGGCUCAGAGAAGUGGCCGCUCUGGCGAAAGCCGAUGAAGCCUCAAAAUUGAUGGAUGCCGCAAGCUCGAGUGCAGAACAAUCAAUUGUAGCCGAGAGCUCACGCCUCAAGGAUCUGCUGUCAACCAGGGAGAAGGAGGUGCUUGCUUUGGGUCAUCAAGUCACUGAGCUGCGGCUCAGAGAGGAGGCCGCUCUGGCGAAAGCCGACGAAGCCUUGAAAUUGCUGGCAGAGGCAACGGCGAGGAAAGCCGGAGAGGAAGAGGCAGCUAGGAGUGCUGAGAAGUCCAACACACUACUCGUCAAGCUGGAGAUGGACACCAUGCUCCAAUCACAGAGAGCCGCGGAGCACGAGGCGAAGGAUGCCAAGGAUAACAUGGUGCAGCUGCAGAGCAAGCUGAGGCUGGUGGAGUCCAAGAUCACUGAGGCCAACCUGACGGCAGAGGAAGAGAAGAUCAGCAGCCUGAGGUUGAAGGAGACGCUGGCCGAGAAGGAGGAGGAGCUCCAGAGCAUCGCACGGGAGAACGAUGGCCUGCGGACGAGGGAAGCGGCUGCACGAGCGAAGGCCGACGAGCUGGCUGCAAUGCUCGUAGAGGCCACCGCCAUGAAAGGAGGAGAUCAGUCGGCUGGUCGGAGCCCGGAGAAGCAGCCAAAUGUGUUCCGGAAGAUGAUGUGCUCGCCGAUGGACAACGCCGCGCGAGGCGAUCAUCAAGAUCGCAGGAACAGCGACAGGAUCGUCCAAGUGCUCGAGGAGAUCAAGCAUGUGGAAGUGGAGACGGUCAGGCAGGUGAAACAUGAAAGAGAGGAGGUGUCAGUGGAGGCUAACUCCAUGGAGAACAGCAAGAUCCUAGAAGAUGACCUGUGCAAAGGGAUGAUGAGCAAUGGCGUAGACACCGAGUCGAGCGACGACGAUGACAUCGAUUCACAGGGAGAAGACGGAGCUGCAGAUCAGAUGGGUGGCCUUCUGAUGCAUGGACCGAGAUCAUCUUUCAAGCAGGAGCAUCACAGCCAUAAGAAGAAGAAGAAGGCAUUGCUGAGGAAAUUCGGGAGCAUGCUGAAGAAGAAAGCUCACUUCACCAAGCUGAACAAACACUCCUAG
rnacentral:rRNA from 1 species